AUUGAACGCUGGCGGCAGGCUUAACACAUGCAAGUCGAGCGGGGUGAUGGUGCUUGCACUAUCACUUAGCGGCGGACGGGUGAGUAAUGCUUAGGAAUCUGCCUAUUAGUGGGGGACAACAUCUCGAAAGGGAUGCUAAUACCGCAUACGUCCUACGGGAGAAAGCAGGGGAUCACUUGUGACCUUGCGCUAAUAGAUGAGCCUAAGUCGGAUUAGCUAGUUGGUGGGGUAAAGGCCUACCAAGGCGACGAUCUGUAGCGGGUCUGAGAGGAUGAUCCGCCACACUGGGACUGAGACACGGCCCAGACUCCUGCGGGGGGCAGCAGUGGGGAAUAUUGGACAAUGGGGGGAACCCUGAUCCAGCCAUGCCGCGUGUGUGAAGAAGGCCUUAUGGUUGUAAAGCACUUUAAGCGAGGAGGAGGCUCUUUUGGUUAAUACCCAAGAUGAGUGGACGUUACUCGCAGAAUAAGCACCGGCUAACUCUGUGCCAGCCGCCGCCGUAA
rnacentral:rRNA from 1 species